rnacentral:rRNA from 1 species
UCUUUAUUUAAGAACUACAAUUCUAGAAAUUAGUAUACUAACGUUUACUGACCCGAUAAUCGAUCAACGGACCAAGUUACCCUGGGGAUAACAGCGCAAUCUACUUCAAGAGCUCAUAUCGACAAGUAGGCUUACGACCUCGAUGUUGGAUCAGGGUAUCCCGGUGGUGCAGCCGCUACCGAAGGUUCGUUUGUUCAACGAUUAAAACCCUACGUGAUCUGAGUUCAG